GAUGAAGAACGCAGCGAAAUGCGAUAAGUAAUGUGAAUUGCAGAAUUCAGUGAAUCAUCGAAUCUUUGAACGCACAUUGCGCCCGCCAGUAUUCUGGCGGGCAUGCCUGUCCGAGCGUCAUUUCAACCCUCAAGCCCCCGGGCUUGGUGUUGGAGAUCGGCGAGCCCCCCGGGGCGCGCCGUCUCCCAAAUAUAGUGGCGGUCCCGCUGUAGCUUCCUCUGCGUAGUGGCACACCUCGCACUGGGAAACAGCGUGGCCACGCCGUAAAACCCCCCACUUCUGAAAGGUUGACCUCGGAUCAGGUAGGAAUACCCGCUGAACUUAAGCAUAUCAAUAAGCGGAGGA
rnacentral:misc_RNA from 1 species